UACGUAGGGUGCGAGCGUUGUCCGGAAUUAUUGGGCGUAAAGAGCUUGUAGGCGGUUUGUCGCGUCUGCCGUGAAAAUUCGAGGCUCAACCUCGAACUUGCGGUGGGUACGGGCAGACUAGAGUGUGGUAGGGGAGACUGGAAUUCCUGGUGUAGCGGUGAAAUGCGCAGAUAUCAGGAGGAACACCGAUAGCGAAGGCAGGUCUCUGGGCCACUACUGACGCUGAGAAGCGAAAGCAUGGGGAGCGAACAGG
rnacentral:rRNA from 1 species